CACCUGUUCCCAUGCCGAACACAGCAGUUAAGCCCUUAAACGCCGAAAGUACUCGACUGGAAACGGUCCGGGAGGAUAGG
rnacentral:rRNA from 1 species